AGGGAGCUUGACUGCGAGACCUACAAGUCGAGCAGGGACGAAAGUCGGGCUUAGUGAUCCGGUGGUUCCGCAUGGAAGGGCCAUCGCUCAACGGAUAAAAGCUACCCCGGGGAUAACAGGCUUAUCUCCCCCAAGAGUCCACAUCGACGGGGAGGUUUGGCACCUCGAUGUCGGCUCAUCGCAUCCUGGGGCUGUAGUCGGUCCCAAGGGUUGGGCUGUUCGCCCAUUAAAGCGGUACGCGAGCUGGGUUCAGAACGUCGUGAGACAGUUCGGUCCCUAUCCGUCGUGGGCGUAGGAAAUUUGAGAGGAGCUGUCCUUAGUACGAGAGGACCGGGAUGGACGCACCGCUGGUGUACCAGUUGUUCUGCCAAGGGCAUAGCUGGGUAGCUAUGUGCGGAAGGGAUAAGUGCUGAAAGCAUCUAAGCAUGAAGCCCCCCUCAAGAUGAGAUUUCCCAUAGCGUAAGCUAGUAAGAUCCCUGAAAGAUGAUCAGGUUGAUAGGUUCGAGGUGGAAGCAUGGUGACAUGUGGAGCUGACGAAUACUAAUAGAUCGAGGACUUAACCAU
rnacentral:rRNA from 1 species